rnacentral:rRNA from 1 species
AUUGAACGCUGGCGGCAGGCCUUACACAUGCAAGUCGAGCGGCUGCACGGAGCUAACCCUUGCGUUGAGCGGCGGACGGGUGAGUAAUGCCUCGGAACGUACCCUGUAGUGGGGGAUAACGUACCGAAACGGGGGCUAAUACCGCAUGAGCUCUGAGGGGGAAAGCGGGGGAUCUUCGGAGGCCUCGCGCUCAGAUAGCGCGAGGUCGGAUUAGCUAGUUGGUGGGGUAAAGGCCUACCAAGGCGACGCUCCGUAACUGGUCUGAGAGGAUGAUCAGUCACACUGGAACUGAGACACGGUCCAGACUCCUACGGGAGGCAGCAGUGGGGAAUAUUGGACAAUGGGCGAAAGCCUGAUCCAGCCAUGCCGCGUGUGUGAAGAAGGUCUUCGGAUUGUAAAGCACUUUAAGUUGGGAGGAAGGGCAGUAAGUUAAUACCUUGCUGUUUUGACGGUACCAACAGAAUAAGCACCGGCUAACUUCGUG